rnacentral:lncRNA from 1 species
GAAAUCAGUUUUUGUAAUGUUAAAGGUUGUCCUUUUCAUUAUCAUUUUUUGCAAGUAUAUAUGAUGAUUGAUUUGGAGUAUGAUCCCCCGUGAUGUUCAAGAGCAAUUGCAAGCCCAUUAAUUGGCACCAUAAGGUCAGUUUUUCGAAAAGGCUCAGCAUAUAAGCAUACCAUUCCAUCUGACUUUGGUGCAUCAAAGCGUCCGCCUCGCAAUAAUUUCGCAAAAACACCAGAUGGUUUCAACUUUUCAUUAUUAACAAUCCUUUUAUCCACCCGCAUGUCACUCGCUAGUGCCUGCACUAUCUCAGAACGGCAAUACAUUGCAGCCAAGUGCAAAGGUGUAUUUCCAUCGUAAUCCUUCUCAUUUAUAAGUGCUUCCAGAUCUCGAUUUCCCAAUAUUUCAUCCACUAUUCUCAUCUGUCCACUCUUCGCUGCAACGUGAAGAAUAUUCUGUCCUUUUUCGUUGAGAAAAUCCAUUGGAUCGAACCAAUAAGUAAGUAGUUCGCGUACUACUUCAAGAUGCCCCUUCUGGCAUGCAUCAUGGAUGGGUAAGUUGCCUUCUUCGUUGCUUUGUGAAGCGGCAACAGGACAUCGACUAACCAGGAGUCUUGCUCCAGAAAGGAAGCCCAUGGAUGCUGCAAGAUGAAGGAGAUUUCCCCCUUUUAUGUCCUCGGGAAGCAUUAUAUCCGGCUUGCCGACCGCUAGUUUUUCUAGUGCAGCAUAAUUUAAAAAUGAGAUAAUCAAUACAAAAAACACAAAAUGCAUGGAAAUAACUUGAAUUUUAUGCUUUACAUAAAAUGAAAUCAUGAAGAAUCAGUUUUAAUGAGACCAAUAAUUAUAAGAGUAACAUGUUAUUUUUCACUUCGAAAUGAUGAAAACAUGUCAUUACCUAAAUUUCCUUCCGGCAUAGCUUCUAUAAAAGAAGCAAGCAUCUCCCCGUCGCAACUCUCUACUGCCAAGUACAAGGGAGACUUGUCUUCCUUGUUCUUGUGGUAGGAAACUUCUAGGUCUUCAUUAACGAGGAAACAGGCCACCUCUCGGCAACCCUUGAUGACUGCAUCAUGCAAUGGGGUGUUUCCUUUAUUAUUCUUCAUCCUCAGCAAGCUAGCAAGUUCAAGUGUUCUAUGAUGAAUUUUCACAUGCUCGACGAGAUUUUGAAUUUUGUCAAACCGUACAGCCCUGGCAGCCAGAUGAAGCGCAUUAUCACCCAGGAAAUUUUUCCUGGUGAUUAGGAGGGGGAAGUGAUGACACAGUAGCUGUAUCACACCUUCGCUUCCAUGGCUUGCUGCCACAUGAAGCAGUGAAUUUCCAGAGGCAGCAACAUGUUUGAAAAUGAUACUGAGCACUUCCAGUUCAUUGGACAAGAGAUGAAACAAGGCAUUGAAGUUGUCUUCCUUUGCAUAGAUAUAAAACUCCCUCUGCAGUAUUUUAUUUGGCUCAGAAAAACCAUACUCUGCAAUCGGAACUGGGAAUUUAACUGCCUUCCAUCGUUCAAGCUCCUCAUUUACUGGUCUCGGCAUAUCUAUUUGUAAUUGCAUAGAGGGUUGCAACGUGCUGGGAGAUUGUAUAAUGUCGGUUGAGUGCUCGAUCUCUUCUUGAGUGACUUGACUUUGCUGCGGUUGUAUCAGUGGUAAAUUGGUAAUUACAUGUCUUGUUAUUUGGCCAAGCAAACUAAAGAAUUCAUAGAAAACAUGAAUGCAAGAAAUAUGCUAAUUAAAGUAUUAGUGAGAGAAAACGUACAUUAGCUACAUAAUUUCUCGAAAUACAAUUAUUUAGGAGCAUAAUGUCAAAAUUAAACUGUUAACGCGUUGUCGAUUUUUUCAAGUAAAAGUUUUUUUUAUAUAUUUACAUCCAAAAAUAACUACGGGUUUGUGUAUUGUAUUUAUAAAUAAAAUAAUAUUUUACGACUUUUAAUAUAUUUUCUAAUAGUAUUAUAUAAAUUAAUAAACUAUAUGCACAAAUAUAUCAAAUUAAUAUAAUUGUUUUUAGCCGCAAACAACUGAUGCCAGUUUGUUAAGAAGAAUUUGAAUAGAAUCUUAAGAAAUAAUUCUCAUAAUAUAUGAAGGAGAAAAUAAUACAUAGAUAAAAGUCAAUUCUCUCCAUAAUAAAGAUCAUUCUCAAAAUGCACACUCCAAACACACUAAAGCAAAAUGAAAGGUUUAAUCAUCAUACAAUCCUGACAUAAAAAAAGAAGUCAGACCAAUCCCUCGUAUCCAUACACUCUAAAUUUUGUGCCAAUAACAAAAAAACUAAAUGCAAAAUCUAUAAAUAGUUUUUUUUUUAAAAAAAAAACAGUGAAUAUCUUCUCUUUUGAAGAAUGAGAGAUAGAGUGUACAGUGUAGGAAAAAUUAUAAUUAACCUAAAUACAGGGAUCAUACCUCCUUUCUCUUGUUUACGAAGACGUUUCGGGUAUUUUUCAUGCACUUUCGAUGAAUUGCAAAAAAAAAAAAAACCCAAACAAAUUUAAACUGAAAUAUUGACACCAAAAAAGAAAAAAAAAAACACCGAACCAUUACACUAAUCAUGAGAUUCCAUGUUAAAAUGAAAAGGAAAUAAUAUAUAAGAAAAUCAAUUCUGAAGGAGAACCAUGUAAAUGUGUACCUGUAUAUUAGUGUAAACUGAGAGAGAAGGAGCGUGAAGGGAGAUGACGAAGAAGACCAGUUUCCUGCAUGCAGAAGUACUUUCCCUGCCAAUAAUUAGACAAAAUUAAGAGACUUGUGCAUACUGAGAGGUUUUUUAAGCUCUAAGAAACAAACUCCUUAGGUAAUAAGGUUUCUAAAAGAAAAAAAAAAGGUUUCUUUGCUUUUCACUUUUCUAUUUAAAAGAGAGUGUGCUGAACGAGCAACACGUUGGCAUCCAUUUCAAGCUUUAAAAUUAGAAAAUGUGAUUUUAGAUAUAUAUUUUUUUAAAAAUAUAUUUUUUAUUUAGAAAUAUAUUAAAAUAAUUUUUUUAUUUUUUAAAAUCAAUUUUUAUAUUAACGCAUCAAAAUCAUCUUAAAACACAAAAAAAAUAUUAAUUUAAAAUAAAAAAAUUUUAAUAUUUUUUUUAAAAUAUUUUUAAAACAUAAAAACAAAUAUUAUUGACUGAACUCAAAUUCUUUUGGAUGCAUAUAGUACUUUUUUCUUUCAGAAUCUUUUCUUUUCUAUUUAAAAGAGAUUGUGAUGAACGAGCAACACAGUGACAUCUAAGAUGAAGUGACCAGGUUGUUUUAAUAAUCCUUUUAUAAUAUCAAGCUUUAAAUUUGACAAAUUUAUAAAUUAGGUUCCUCUUAUCAUUAAUCCGAAUUCCUAAUAAUUUUUAUUCAAAUUUGACCACAUCUUUUGUUCAUUGUAGCAUUAAGCUUUGUUGAACAUCAAUUACUAAUCAUACCUGAAUUUAAGCCAUUCAAAUAGCUACCAUCGCCGCCCUGCGGUCACCAAAUCAAACGUACAUCAUACCUCUAUUUUCUAUGCUUUUAUUCAGUUUUGUAAUUGCUUGCUUCCAGUUCUUGUGCUUAGAUACUCGGUUUGCUGAUUAAGUUACAUAUUCCCUGAUCUUUUGUUUGCGGAUUCGAUUUUUAUCCCACUUAUUUUUAUUUUUCCAAUGAAAACUUUCAAUCAACAAGUUUCUCAUCAGAUAUUUGUGUUUCAUCGGUCAUUUCAUCAUAAACUUUGUUUUUUUUUUUUUUUUUUAUGGAAUGACCAAUAAAAAUAUUCAUGCUAAAAAAUUAGAUUUUAUCACCCAUUUGUCAUCGGGAAGUCCGUCCAAGAAAAGGAGCAAAUAUUACCGCUGAAAUCAUGGAUAAAAAUACACUUUAAUUUCCAAUGGAAAUUCCUUCAUCAAUUCCAUUGGAAAUACCUAAACUUUAUGUAAAUUUCGAUGAAAUGUGAGUAAAUAUUGCCGACAAAAAUGCAAUUUUUUUGGUGAUUCUGUUUGUGUUCCAUACUUUUUUUAUGUUGUUUAGUUUUUAUAAUCCCAAAUGCAUUUUUUAUUAACACUAAACUCAUAACAACAACAAUAAAAUUAAAAAUAUUAUAACAAAAUUCCAUACAUAAAAAUUUUGUAAAUAACAUAUUAAAAUUUUUAAAAAGUUGGAGGAGGUGAAAAAAAUCAUGAUCUAUAAGCUCCAUGAGAGGGAGGAAAAUGUAAAGCCAAAUACGCACGUAUUUGCUCUCAUUUUCUAUUAUUUCUUGUUUGAUUUUUGCUUUUAUUUCUUCUAUUAGUUCUGUCAUUAUUUAUGCUCUUAUAUUAUGCAACUCAAUAGCCAAUUGUUAUGGAAUCCUAUCUCAAACCAUCUCCUUAAUGGUCAAUGAUGUCUGGUUGAAAUUGGAAUAUUUUGUGCCUACCAUUGAAACACUACGACUCACCCUUGUAUCUUGGUCAAUGCUAUAGACAUACCACAAACUAAAUUCUUAUCAAGUCUAUUAAUUGCUCUAUCCUUCAACCACAAAUAAGAAUCGUUAGGAGGAUGGUUGUAAUUGUGUUUUUCAUGUUUAACAGCCAUGUUGGCAUUAUAUAUAUUUGUCAAAACAAAACAAAAGGUCAAAAUCCAAUUAAACUUAAAAAAAAUAGUAAUACAAUUAUAACUAUCCAAAAAUACUUACAAUGAACUCUUUCACUGUUUCACUAUAUUAUUGAUAAACCUUUUUAUCUUUUUUGCUUAUCCUCUUUUUUUAUAUGAGUUUCCUAAUAUAACUUCAUUGGAGUAUGUUCGCACCAAAACUGUUUUUCCUAUACAAUAAAUAGUUUGUAAAAAAGUCUCAUAAAUAAAAAAUAAAUUAAUAAUUAAAUAAACAAUAAUUAAAUAUAUAGCAAUGCUCUUAUUAGGCUAUUUGCAUGGUUCACCAAGGAAAGUGCUCCUCAAGUGUGCAUGCUCAUCAAACCAUGAAUUUUCUUUUUUCCUAUUGUUUUGAGACCUAGAUUUUGAGCACUUUUUAAAACCAUAUGAUGCCAAAACUUCUUGAAACUUAGCCCAAUUACUCUUUGUGACGUGUCUCGAUCUAAAAUUUUUCCACAAUACUAUGUCAUCAAAGUUGGCUCUGUUCAUUGAAUAUCUAGAAACAUCAUGCCACAAAUCACGCAACCUAGUAUAGUAAUUUAAUAAACAAAAUUAAGAUAAGGAAAUGAAAUAUUAUAGUUUUACAAUAAUAUAAUUGUUUUUUGCAUUAUACUUACCUAAUUACAAUGUGGUUUUCCCACACAUUUCUUACAACCCCCUCAUUUUCCUUGUCCUGGUAAUUUUUUUUCCUUGUAGUCAAACAUUAGUUAUUUUUAAAAAAUUUUAAAAACUAUAUAUUAACUCAAUGUAUAUAUUAUUUAUUUAACCAUUAACUUUUCCCAAAAACAUCUACUAUAAUCAUACAUUUAGAAUGAUCUUAAAGUUGACUCUAUUAAAACAAUGGUUUUUCAAAAACAAAUUUAAGAUUAAUUGUAUUAAAGAGAAAAACUAUAAAAAAAAAAAACACAAAAAGUGUACCUAAGAUGUACAUCAUCUUGUAACCCAAAUCAAAUGACCUUAGACAAUAGGGAAAAAAACAAAAGCUAAAAAAAAUUAAAAAUUUCUGAAAAUAAGACUGCUUGAAUAAUAGCAUAGAAAAUCAAUUCAUCAAAAUCAUUUAAUGUAAAACUUAAAAUAAUCUAUUACAAAUAAAUAACUUCAAUGGUAAGAGAAAAAACAUGACUUACAUUGUGUCGUUGGCUUUUUAUGUUGCAAUAAGUUUUCUUGAUACAGGGUCUCUAGAAGAAGGGAUUCUACCUUUUUUGUUUGUGAAAUUCAUUGUUGUAAAUGAGAUCAUUGCAUAAUUAGUUGGCAUCAAAGGACAUAAUAAUCUCUCUCUUUGUAUGAUUAAUAGAAAUGAUACUGUGAAUCUGUAAAUUAUGCCAAAAACGCUUUAUUCUGUUUCUAAAGGACUCGAGGCUAUUGCUCUAAGAGUUGAAGUGCCUAUGUUCAAAUCAUUUUAAAAUUACCUGCAUUAUUGCAUUUUUGUUCCACUAGAAAUUGUUUCUGAUGUUUUUGACAUCUACAAAUACUGCAAGGUCCUAUCCUGGUACUACUACAUCUGCUUGGUGUGGCCUUGUUAAGUUAACUGGGAAUUUGCAUAAUGUUUCCAGGCUGAUGCUUUUGAAAGCCAGCGUGGACAAUGCAUUGAUAUCACCUGGAAAGUGAUAAUUUAUUUAAAUAAAACAGACUUUACCAAGGUGAUGGAAACAAUGCUAUACUGCCCUGACAAAUAAAUGUAUAAAUGACAUUCGAGAGUUAAACUGGUUUUGCUUACACCAUUGUGCAUAGAACUGCUUAUUUCCUUUUCUGAAGAAUGUUCUUUGUACGCUUAAUUGAACUAGUCUCUUUAAGUGUUCAAUGGUUCUCACCAACCAUUUGUCAAAGAAAUAAAGAAGUCUGUUAAUUUUAUUGGUUUGCCAUUCCAACAGGGGCUGGAUCCCCUUUAAAUUGUGCAUGCAACUUGUUAGCAAACCUCUUAUUUUGGUAGGCAGAGUUUAUCCGUGUUGUGACUUCAGAUAAUAACAAUGACUGAUUUGGUCAAUCUCUCAAAAAGUUUUCUGUAUUCCCGAGAGUAAUAAUCCUAAUCAUCAUUUUAGGUUAGUUGACAGAAUAUCUUUCUUGGUUAUUUCUUAGUUCAUAUGAACCAAACCUGCCUCAUUCCUCCCCUCAUGCGAGGUAGUUAAGUAGUGUAUGAGCCCUAGUACUGGUUUCAAGAUAUGACUUAUCACUGUGUAUAUGUCUGUAGUUAGUUUAGCUGAGAGUUCAAACAAGUGUUUAUGGUGUUAAACGUUUUUCAAUCAUAAAUUGUUUUGCAGAUAUAAUUGAUGAAUUGGUGAAGAAUGGGAAAGAGAUAAGGCUGUAUAUUUUGCUUCUGAAUCUGGUUUGACGAAAAGAUUUUCUCCUGUAUCUCUACUCAAGUCAUAUCUUAAGAAUUCCAAGAAGAUCACAACUACUGUCUUGAAGAAUGGCAAUUAUAGUGUAGCUGCAACGGUGUGUCUAAUCUCUAUCUACAUUGUGUAAUUCUAAUGACAUGAAAUAUUUGAGUCUUAUUAAUUUUUUUGCAGGAUGAGUCAAGUACCUUGGAGUUGAAUUCUAUUAAAGCAAUCAUCAAAUGUGUGGAAGAUCAUAAGCUUGAAUCAGAAUUUUCCCUUGACAGCUUGAGAAAACGGGCUUCUCUGCUUGAAAAAACCAAAGCAGAGAGGAAGAGGGGUACAUCAGCUGCCACUGCUACCAAGUCUCAAAACAAGCGAGGCCAUGGUUCAAGUGGUGGCCGGGACAGUGGACCUACUCCUUAUCGUCAAGCCAAAGCUGCCAAAUUUUCAAACAAUUAUUCCUCUUUCAGCCGCAGGAAUGCUCCUCUCCCUGCACAGCAUAGCCCGGCUAGAAGAUAUUCAGGGCCAUUCCACUACCCUAGCCAGAGUGUCUACGAGGGCCCCGCAGCAGCCCCGUAUGCAUCAACUUAUGGUAUCUCGCACGCUCAAAGCCCUUCUGCAAUCUCUCAACAACCCUACCAUCACUCUCAAAGCCCCAGUGCAAUUCCUCAACAACUCUACUCACAGCCAGCGGAGAACAUGAGUGCUGCCGGUUUCCGUGCCAGUGGUUCUUAUGGAAGCCAGACCGGUUACGGGGCAUAUGAUUACGGCUCUGCUGCACCCGUUACUUACCAACCUUCAUCCUACACUCAAUAAGAUGGGAGGAACCUAGCCAGGUGUUAAGAUUCUUAUUUUUAUUUGGUGUCUGAUUUCUGGAUGUGGCCCUCUAAUUUUGGGACCCGCCCCCUUCAUCUCCCUUUCCCGUAUAAAAGUUUUUUUUUGGUCUUAUCUCAUGACUGGAUAUGAUGCCCAUGCCUGUAACGCUGAUUACCUUUAUAUGGAGCUCAAGCUGGAUGUGAUUUCCGUGCUGUGAGUUUUAAAUGGUUUGGCUAUCGAGCAUUGUAUUCUUUCAACUUCUUUCCUUGAUUGGAGUCGCCAUUGGGUGCCUAUGCUUGUGUUUUUGCCAAAUUUUGGUUAAUCAAACCAAUUUCAUUUGCUGCUUGCACUUUUUUAAGAAGGAAGAAAUGAAUAACAAGGAACAUGUUAAUUAAUAGGACUAACUUGUUAAAAUCACAACAAUUUAGUAAUCAUGCUAAAAAUCCAAUUUAGUAAGAACAUGGCUAUAAUGGGUAACAAUUAUCUAGUCCUUGUAAUUGAUAGACAUCAUUCUUUUGGCCACUAGGUCUGAAAAUAACUCACAAACAUUCAGACCAAUGGAGAAACUUGUAUUAGAUGUUCUAUAAAAUGGUUAUUCAUCAUCUAAUUCUCUACAUAAACAAAUAACUACAUAUGGUAAUCAAUAACACCAUUUAGGCUUUCAUUGAUUAGCUCAAUCAAAACUAAAAUGAGCUCAAAUAAAGUUGACCAAGCACUUGUUUUUGUACUGUUUCUUAGGAGACAAGUCUUAUGAUAUCCUUUAAUAAUAAGCACUCUAAUAAGAAUAUUUGGAAGUAGUCAUAUUCUAAGUAUUACAUGUCCACAUAAUAAUAAUUUCAACAUAAUUUGGGUACACACUUCCAAGUGAUCAGUUAAUGUUUAAUUUUACGAUAAAAUAUUUCAUUUUAUUAGUUUAGAGCAAUUAAGGCUUUUGGAAAUAAAAUUAAAUCCUUAAAAACUUGUGAACACCUUUAAUUUUGUCCCAUUGAGGACUAGUUUCUAAUUUUAGUUGUAGUUAUUUUUUAUUUUAAUUUGGUUUUUCCAUAUAUUUUUUGAAAAUUGUCUUGAUAGUUUUUAUUCUUAGAUAUAAUGGUCCAUAAUAUGAAGACAAAGGUCUAGUGCUUGAUUGAUGUUCAAUUUUAUCAAAAUAUGUUUAAAUUGAGUUGACUUAAAGCAAUUAGGGUUUAAAGGACCAAAUUUGAUUAUGAAAUAAAUAUGAGAGACUAAAAUUAAUGAGUAUAGUUAAAAAGGUACAACAGCUUUGGCAGCAUAUGCAACCUUUUCUAGCGGCCAACCCACCCUUCCACGGUGGCGAUCGAUGUAUCUUAGAAUUCUUUUUUGCAAGGGUAAUUAACACAUGUAUUCUUAUUCUUGGUGGUGUGUCGUUAGCGUUAUUUUUUUAUUUUAUUUUAUUUAUAUUUUUCCUCUCUUUUCUUUAAAAUUCAUGCUAGCCAUUUCAAAUUUCGUAGUUGUCUCCUUGUUUUAGUAUUAUUUCAAAUUCGAAUCUUUUUUUAUUACUAAGUUUUUGUUCUAGAUCUUUUUUUAAAAUGUAAAAUUGUUUUCAAUUUUCUCAUUCAAUAAAAAAUUACAAGUUGUCCUUUUUUUUAUUUUUAAAAUUUGGUCCAUAUUUUUUUAAUUCCUAUUUUUAGUUUUUGAUCCUAUAGUGAAAUUAAAUUUUCCUUUCAUUUUCAUCAUCUAAUUUGUUUUUAUUUCUAAUUCUAUUCUUAUUCUUUUGGUUGGCCUUGAUCUCUUUUUCUGUCCUUCUAGGGUGCUGUAAUCACCAUCAACAAAGUGGCCUUUUAAGGAAGAAGUGGCUCAAAUUGUUUAUAUAGUUGGGUUACAUUUUAAUAUAGUCAUGUAUUUGAAAAAGUAUUUAGUUAAUUAAUAUAUAUAUAUAUUACUAAAAAUUCUUUUAAAAUUUUAAUUAAAAUAUAAUAUAAUUUAUAACUUUUUUUAAAUGUAUUUUUUUAAAUCACAUAUCUAUCACAAAGAAAGAUCUUUUCAUAAAUCCCAACUUUCGCAAGAAUAUUAAUCAUGAGUCCUUACAUGUCCUCUUCCUUGUUGAAUUCUACGGCCUUCGAAUGUCAUGUCUAUGCCGAUUUACUCGGGUAUUUCUUUAUGCAUGCAUGCAAAAUAAUAUAAUAAUUAAUUAUUAGUUUAUAGAGGCUGAUAAAUAAAUAAAAUAUAUAGUUUAUUGAGUUUCCAAAACAAAACAAUCGCAUCUUGUGGUCAUCAACCAAAUCUAAUACUGUUUGGAAAAACACUGUUCAUGUAGAUUAAUAAGUACUAUUUAUUAAAACAAAGUAUUAAUGAUAGUUUUGCUUUUCUCGUAAAAGAAUUUGAACCAGUUAUUUAAGAUACUUUCACAAGUUUCAUUUAUUAUUAUCAAGUCAAAUUAAUAAGUGUUUUUGUAUUUUGAAAUCAUAGUAAAAUAAUUAAAAUAUGUUUACAUGUAAAAAAUUAUAAACUAAUGUCCAAGUGCUUUUUAGUAUUUUUACACUAGUUUUUUCAUUAUUAUUAGGUUAGUUGAAGGAAAAACUAGUAUUUUAAUAAAUAAAAAAUAUUAUUUAAAAACAAAAAACGACUAGCCUAUGUAAUGCUUGUGCAAGCAUAUAAGCGGCGCUAGCUACACUCAAGUGGCAUCUCUCAACGAUCAAACAUUAGUUUUUGCCAUGUCAUUGGAAGCACUGCAACAUACUCUUCCUUUAAGAACGACACAUGGUGUUAUUGGGGUGGCGGUGUGAUGUUGGUGACUUUUUUUUCUUCUCAUUCCACUUUACUCUUUCCUCCUCUUGAAAAUCGUGUUGGCCAUGCGAAAUUUCAAAGUUGUCAUCUAAUUUAUUGAGAUGUCAAAUUUAUUAUUUAUUAUUUUGAUUUAUUAUUUUUGUUUUUGGUCAUUUUGUGAAAUUUUGAGUUAUUUUUAAUUUUAUCUUUCAAUCUCAAUUUGUGAUAUAUUAUGUUUUUUUUCAAUUUAGUCUUCAUUCUUUUUGAUAGUUUUAUUUUGAGUCCUUUUGUUAAAUUGAAUUUUCUUUUCAAUUUCACCCUUCAAUUAAAAAAAAAUUUAUUUUUUUUAUUUUAAUUUUGAUCCUCAUUCCUUCAAUUACUAUUUUUUUUUUUCUAAAUAAUUGAUUUUUCUUUUUUUCAUUUUUAAAUUUUAUCAAAAACGCACGUGAUUAGUUGUUGUCAAACUAUCUAGUGCUAAGAAUUCGAAAGUCAAGUACCCUGCAAUAUGAAAGAACUCUGAAAACACACACCAGAGACAUGCAUGUUCUGCUUUAUAUUUAACCAAAGUCGUUACAAGAGAGAGGAGAAAGAGCUUAUCUAUUUGUUACAAGAGAUACAAAUUACAUGAGAUUUAAAUACCCUCCAGUUUGAACUGGAUGUGAUCCUAUUCUCCACCCAUAAAAAUUAUAAGGAAUUUAAUGGGAUUUGCAAGCAGGACAGACAUUACUGAAAAUCUAGAGUAACAAAGUACUUGCCAAUAAUAAAAGAGGAUUGGAAUGUGAUGAUGGUUAUGAAAAUCCAGUACGUUCUUGCACCGUGAUUGCCAGGAUGAAUGUAUAUGCUAAACCCAUGAAGGAAAGGCCACAUAUGAUACAAUAUGUCGCCAUGUCCAUGCUUAUUCUUACAUUACCGGUACGACCUAAUGAUAUCCGACAAAGGAUUAUAGCGGCGAUGAGGGAGAAAUUCAUAGCUAGCAUGUCAAAAAAAAUAUAAGCUCUCAUCAGAUAUUUUGAAGUACCACUGCUAAGAUCAGAACCUGAUCCAGGCACAGUGAUAGCACCAGCGAAGGUUACUCCAGCUACCAGUACUGCCACCACGAGAAGAUUCCCUACCCCUCUGUUCCGUUCCUCCGUCGUUAACGUCGUUCUUGGUGAAUCAAAGAUAAGAUUGAUGCCAAACUCAUUCUUAUCAUUUCCUCCACCAAAACUUUUAAUACCUCACGCUGAACAACAAAAUGUUAAUUAGAAAAUAUAUGGUAAACAAAUUAAUUAUAUAAAGCAUCAUGACAAUGUUAUCUUAAUAUCCCAUAAUAACGAAGAAGUAACUCAUCGCAAUAUAUUUAGUAGAUCAGCGAGGCAUUCCAUAUUUUUGAGCAAGUAAAGAACUUUAUUUCCACUUUGGAUUAAUCAAAUUUUAGGUAAUUAAAAGAAAUCUAUCAUUCCCUUUUCUAUAAAGUUGCAACAUGGACAGAAUGUGGAUGUGAAAGUUUUUGCUAGACUAGAAUGUAUUUACUUCAAUCACCUGAUUAGCUUCUUACGUGGACGAAACCCUCUGGUAUUGAUGAAUAUAAAAGAAUUAAAUGUGACUGAGGUUUUGAAAAUUAAAAAAUCUUUUUAAAUGAGUAUUGAUUGUUCCUAUAUAUGCAAUUACUAGAAGCUGGAUUGUGGAGUAUAAUGCCAUUACUAGAAGCUUAUUGGCAUAUGGAAAAAACUAGAGAGUAUUUAUGCUUCUAGACCCAUGACUAAUCGUUUUCUUUUGAAGUUAGAUUUGUACUCUUGAGGAUGGAUGAAGGAAUGGGUAUACACAAGAGUUAAAAGGUUGACAACACAAGUAGUCAAUAUUAGAAAAAACAAAAUUGGGGAAAAAGAGCGAAACCUCAUUCUACAAGCCAUUGGUGCAAACAAUACUAGUUAAAAGGAUAACUUUAGGUUUAAUCUUACUAGAUAGAAUAAAAGGUUUUGAAAGGUAACGAGGCAUUGGUGAUGGAAGGUAAUCUAGGAAAUAAAAUUAUGAUUGUCAUGGGAGGAACAUGGCAUAAAGAGGUAGAUUUGGUAUAAAAAACUCUAUUUGAGAUUCUAGAUCUAGAGUGGAAUACAAUAUUAAUAUUUUUAUUGUCAUUGCAAAAUACUAGUUAAAAGGAUAACUUUAGGUUUAAAUGAUACAACUAUAAUUUUAUUGGAGAAUGAUAGGUUUUGAAAAUAGAAAACAAUGUCAAAAGGUAACGAGGCAUUGGUUAUGGGAGGUGGUCCUGUAAUUUACCAUGAAAGAUGGGAGCAAAGUGUUGAAUAUUAAACUCAAUCCAGAAGCUCCCAGAAGGUCAAGGAAGACAACCAGCCACCAGCCACCAGUCGCCGACCAGCCGCCAGCCGCCUUCACACUUGAAGGUUGAAUUUUCUAGUUUUUGAUUUCGUGUAUAAAUAGAGUGCCUAGCUUCUGUUAAUGUGUGUGGAGAGAAUUGAGAGCAAACACUAGAAAGAGAAAUAGAGAGAGAGAGGGCAUGUACUGUUAAGCUUUUGUUAAUUAAUUGUAAGCUUGUGUUUUUGUAACAAAACUUUGUGUUUUAUCCCCUCUGAGUGUUUCAAAGUCACCACCAGUGGUUUCUCCCAUGCACCAACAAUUAGUAUCAGAGCCCCGUUCGUCAGAAAACAGAAGUGUUUUGGGGUACAUCCGAAUUUUCAAAGUUGUCAAAAACAAGUUUUGAUCAUUCCACAGUGAAGAGCUCAUCAAUACGAACUCACUGUCGCAAGAAUCAGCCUUAUCGGAGUCCGCGGUGAUCCACACGCGCCGCCUGAAGAUCCGGUGACUGUAUCCCAUGCGCAUCCACGCGCGCCAUAUUUGAGCCGCGCCGAGCCCGAGCCGCGCCGCAAGCCGAGCCGUCCUCCGCACCGAGAGAAUAUUCCCCAAAAUAUUCCCCGAAUAUUCCUGGUUCAACCUAGCGAACCGCCCGCCGUACAGAAUUGGUUUUUUGACCGGUUCACCCAUUUUCUGACCCGAAUUCAACAAAGUCAGACCGGUUCCCUGCUAUUUGGAUCAUUCCAGAUCGAUCUACAAUGUCCGUUUGGCCAAAUUCGGCUCCUAGAAAGGUGAUAUAAUCAUUCAAAGAGCAAAAUGACUACAGAAGAUACACAUACACUCAUUCCAAAGCUGACCAAAGACAACUAUGAUAGUUGGUGCAUCAGAUUGAAGGCAUUCCUUGGGUCACAAGAGUGUUUGGAUAUUGUACAAACUGGUUAUGAUGAAUCAGAGUCCAAAGAAAGAGAAGAUGUUUUAUAAGAGGCACAAAAGCAAGCUCUUAAAGUCAACAGAAAGAAAGACAACAAAGCAAAGACCAUCAUCUAUCAGGGUCUUGAUGAAGACACAUUCGAGAUCAUAGCUUCCGCUGAAACAUCACAUGAUAUAUGGAGGCUCUCCAACAGAAAUACAAAGGUGCUGACAGAAUUAAAAAAAUUCGUCUUCAAUCUUUGCGAGGUGAAUUUGAGUUAUUGCAAAUGAAGUCCUCGGAGUCUAUUUCUGAUUAUCGCACAAGGAUUAUGGUGAUAGUCAACCAGAUGAGGAGAAAUGGAGAAGCCAUCGUCGAUUCUCGAAUUACUGAGAAAAUUUUGAGAUCGCUAGAUCCAAAAUUCGAUUUUGUUGUUGUCGCAAUUGAAGAAUCUAAAGAAGUGGACAAGUUGACAGUUGAUGAACUUAUGAGUUCUUUGCAAGCUCAUGAGCAGAAAAUUGUAAAGGGAAAUGGAGAUAAGGCAAUUGAGCAUGCCUUACAAGCAAAGCUGUCUCUCAAGGACAAAUAUGAGCAAGGGGAGACUUCAACAAAUGGAUAUACCACUCAAGCAGGAAGUCAACAAUCCAGAGGAGGAUUCCAGAGAUUCCAAGGAAGAGGUUCUUGGAAUACAAGCUUUAGAGGAAGAGGUGGCAGAAACAUCAUUAGAGGAGAUCGAGGACAACAAGCAUUCAAUCCUAGAGGAAGAGGGGGCGAUUACAAUAACCAUGACAAGAGGAAUAUCCAAUGUUAUAGUUGCAAUCAAUUUGGGCACUAUAGCACUGAAUGCAGAAGGAAAGCUCUAUUGGAGAUACGUGAGCAAGCCAACUAUGCAGAGAAGGAUGACAGAGAAGAAGCUGCAUUUCUUGUCCAACAAGAACAAAAUUAAGAUAAGGAAAUGAAAUAUUAUAGUUUUACAAUAAUAUAAUUGUUUUUUGCAUUAUACUUACCUAAUUACAAUGUGGUUUUCCCACACAUUUCUUACAACCCCCUCAUUUUCCUUGUCCUGGUAAUUUUUUUUCCUUGUAGUCAAACAUUAGUUAUUUUUAAAAAAAUUUUAAAAACUAUAUAUUAACUCAAUGUAUAUAUUAUUUAUUUAACCAUUAACUUUUCCCAAAAACAUCUACUAUAAUCAUACAUUUAGAAUGAUCUUAAAGUUGACUCUAUUAAAACAAUGGUUUUUCAAAAACAAAUUUAAGAUUAAUUGUAUUAAAGAGAAAAACUAUAAAAAAAAAACACAAAAAGUGUACCUAAGAUGUACAUCAUCUUGUAACCCAAAUCAAAUUGACCUUAGACAAUAGGGAAAAAAACAAAAGCUAAAAAAAAUUAAAAAUUUCUGAAAACAAGACUGCUUGAAUAAUAGCAUAGAAAAUCAAUUCAUCAAAAUCAUUUAAUGUAAAACUUAAAAUAAUCUAUUACAAAUAAAUAACUUCAAUGGUAAGAGAAAAAACAUGACUUACAUUGUGUCGUUGGCUUUUUAUGUUGCAAUAAGUUUUCUUGAUACAGGGUCUCUAGAAGAAGGGAUUCUACCUUUUUUGUUUGUGAAAUUCAUUGUUGUAAAUGAGAUCAUUGCAUAAUUAGUUGGCAUCAAAGGACAUAAUAAUCUCUCUCUUUGUAUGAUUAAUAGAAAUGAUACUGUGAAUCUGUAAAUUAUGCCAAAAACGCUUUAUUCUGUUUCUAAAGGACUCGAGGCUAUUGCUCUAAGAGUUGAAGUGCCUAUGUUCAAAAUCAUUUUAAAAUUACCUGCAUUAUUGCAUUUUUGUUCCACUAGAAAUUGUUUCUGAUGUUUUUGACAUCUACAAAUACUGCAAGGUCCUAUCCUGGUACUACUACAUCUGCUUGGUGUGGCCUUGUUAAGUUAACUGGGUAUUUGCAUAAUGUUUCCAGGCUGAUGCUUUUGAAAGCCAGCGUGGACAAUGCAUUGAUAUCACCUGGAAAGUGAUAAUUUAUUUAAAUAAAACAGACUUUACCAAGGUGAUGGAAACAAUGCUAUACUGCCCUGACAAAUAAAUGUAUAAAUGACAUGCGAGAGUUAAACUGGUUUUGCUUACACCAUUGUGCAUAGAACUGCUUAUUUCCUUUUCUGAAGAAUGUUCUUUGUACGCUUAAUUGAACUAGUCUCUUUAAGUGUUCAAUGGUUCUCACCAACCAUUUGUCAAAGAAAUAAAGAAGUCUGUUAAUUUUAUUGGUUUGCCAUUCCAACAGGGGCUGGAUCCCCUUUAAAUUGUGCAUGCAACUUGUUAGCAAACCUCUUAUUUUGGUAGGCAGAGUUUAUCCGUGUUGUGACUUCAGAUAAUAACAAUGACUGAUUUGGUCAAUCUCUCAAAAAGUUUUCUGUAUUCCCGAGAGUAAUAAUCCUAAUCAUCAUUUUAGGUUAGUUGACAGAAUAUCUUUCUUGGUUAUUUCUUAGUUCAUAUGAACCAAACCUGCCUCAUUCCUCCCCUCAUGCGAGGUAGUUAAGUAGUGUAUGAGCCCUAGUACUGGUUUCAAGAUAUGACUUAUCACUGUGUAUAUGUCUGUAGUUAGUUUAGCUGAGAGUUCAAACAAGUGUUUAUGGUGUUAAACGUUUUUCAAUCAUAAAUUGUUUUGCAGAUAUAAUUGAUGAAUUGGUGAAGAAUGGGAAAGAGAUAAGGCUGUAUAUUUUGCUUCUGAAUCUGGUUUGACGAAAAGAUUUUCUCCUGUAUCUCUACUCAAGUCAUAUCUUAAGAAUUCCAAGAAGAUCACAACUACUGUCUUGAAGAAUGGCAAUUAUAGUGUAGCUGCAACGGUGUGUCUAAUCUCUAUCUACAUUGUGUAAUUCUAAUGACAUGAAAUAUUUGAGUCUUAUUAAUUUUUUUGCAGGAUGAGUCAAGUACCUUGGAGUUGAAUUCUAUUAAAGCAAUCAUCAAAUGUGUGGAAGAUCAUAAGCUUGAAUCAGAAUUUUCCCUUGACAGCUUGAGAAAACGGGCUUCUCUGCUUGAAAAAACCAAAGCAGAGAGGAAGAGGGGUACAUCAUCAGCUGCCACUGCUACCAAGUCUCAAAACAAGCGAGGCCAUGGUUCAAGUGGUGGCCGGGACAGUGGACCUACUCCUUAUCGUCAAGCCAAAGCUGCCAAAUUUUCAAACAAUUAUUCCUCUUUCAGCCGCAGGAAUGCUCCUCUCCCUGCACAGCAUAGCCCGGCUAGAAGAUAUUCAGGGCCAUUCCACUACCCUAGCCAGAGUGUCUACGAGGGCCCCGCAGCAGCCCCGUAUGCAUCAACUUAUGGUAUCUCGCACGCUCAAAGCCCUUCUGCAAUCUCUCAACAACCCUACCAUCACUCUCAAAGCCCCAGUGCAAUUCCUCAACAACUCUACUCACAGCCAGCGGAGAACAUGAGUGCUGCCGGUUUCCGUGCCAGUGGUUCUUAUGGAAGCCAGACCGGGUUACGGGGCAUAUGAUUACGGCUCUGCUGCACCCGUUACUUACCAACCUUCAUCCUACACUCAAUAAGAUGGGAGGAACCUAGCCAGGUGUUAAGAUUCUUAUUUUUAUUUGGUGUCUGAUUUCUGGAUGUGGCCCUCUAAUUUUGGGACCCGCCCCCUUCAUCUCCCUUUCCCGUAUAAAAGUUUUUUUUUGGUCUUAUCUCAUGACUGGAUAUGAUGCCCAUGCCUGUAACGCUGAUUACCUUUAUAUGGAGCUCAAGCUGGAUGUGAUUUCCGUGCUGUGAGUUUUAAAUGGUUUGGCUAUCGAGCAUUGUGAUUACUCUCAUGAUUGGAGUCGCCAUUGGGCGCCUAUGCUUGUUUUUUUGCUAAAUUUUGGCAUGCCUAAUAGACUAAUUUGUUAAAUCACAACAAUUUAGUAAUCAUGCUAAAAAUCCAAUUUAGUAAGAACAUGGCUAUGAUGGGUAACAAUUAGCUAGCCCUUGUAAUUGAUAGACGUCAUUCUUUUGGCCACGAGAGGUCUGAAAAUAACUCACAAACAUUCAGACCAAUGGAGAAGCUUGUAUUACAUGUUCUAUAAAAUGGUUAUUCAUCAUCUAAUUCUUUAUAUAAACAAAUAACUACACAUGAAUAGAACAAUAAUGUUCCCUUAUAGUUUAUAAUAUUGCCACCUUUGUGAGUAUCAUUACCUUUGUGAAUAUCAUUUUGCCUCUACCAUCACAACCUCACAGUUAAUUUUUUUUUUCAUCAUUCAAUUUUUUUUUAAAAUUAGUCUUAUAAUUUGUUUUUUCAAUUCAGCUAUCCCCGAUUUCAUUACCAGAACUACAUGUUUGAUGAAUUUUUUUUGGGUCGCUGUUUUUUUAUUUAAAAUUUUAUUAGUUUCAUCCUUGAACAUUUGGUUCCUUUAGAAUUGAUUAUUGUAAUCAUUCUAAAGACAUGCAUAAAUUGUUUUAAGGCCUUAAAGUGCAUCUUCAUUCAUCUCAGAAACUGAAAAAAUAAAAAAAAAUCAAAUAAAAGAAACCUAAUUAUUUUUCCUGGCCUUGAUCUCUUUUUCUUUGUCCUUCUAGGGUGGUGUAAUCACCAUCAACAAAAUGGCCUUUUAAGGAAGAAGGGGACACUGGACACCAUUAUAGCAGGUUGCAAUGUCAGGAUCUAGAGGAAAGUUUCUCUCCUCGCCUAUCUCUCCUCGGUCCUGUCUCCGAUCUUUACAUACAGGGACUGAAUUUUAAAAAUAGUGUGUUUGUUUUUUAAAUAGGUUUUGUGGUUUUGAUUUUAAAAAAAUAAAUUUAAAAAAAGUGUGGUUAACUAUGAUUAGUUAAAUUUAAAUACGUGUUUAGUAAAAAUUAUAGUUGAAGUUUAUGUGUAACAAAAAUAAUGUAUAAAAUAUUUGGUGGAAGUAUAGUUGCCGUUGUUUUUUAAAGUGUUUUUUACUUGGAAAUGUAUCAAAAUAAUUUUUUUAAAAAAAUUAUUUUUGAUAUCAGCAUUGAUUUGAAAACAAAAAAAAUAUAUCAAUUUGAAGCAAAGAAAAAAAUAAAAAAAUUUAUUUUUUUCAAAAGCGCUUUUGAAACAUAAAAAUAAAUAGGGUUUUAUGAAACUCAAUUAAAAAAUCAUGUAAAAACUACUACAUAAAAAUUACGUUUCAAACUCAACUUUUUAGUAAGUCCCGCAUUACAAACCAAAGUUUAGUUUGUUAAUUACCAAACACUUUGCCAUGUUUGUUUCACCACAAACAAAAAACCAGUGAAGAAAUCCUAAAUAUCUAAAUAAUUUAUACAUGUUUUUUACUACACAUAACCUUUAACUAUAAUUUUUAUUAAACACAUAUUUAAAUUCAAUUAAUUACAAUUGACUCUAUUUAAAAAAAAAAACUUAUUUUUUUAAAUUAAAAUCUCAAAAACUAUCUAAAAAAUAAAGAAACGAGUGAGGAUGUUGAUGAUGCCAAGCAAGUCAGUGUAAAGUGGAAAUCUUGACAAGAUGUUGUAGCCUUCAUAAAAAGUACAAUGCAGUACAAAACGAGAGGUGAAUGUUUGAGAUUGUUAUAAUUUUUAAUUUUAUAUGAUUUUUAAAAGUAUAUUUUAUUUUAAAAAUAUAUUAAAUUAAUAUUUUUUUAAUAAUUUUUUCUAAAACAUAUUUUUCUAAAACAUAUUUUUAAAAAUAAUUUCCAUCACAACACUAAAAACAUAUAAAUAUUUAUCAUAGUAACAAGAAGUGAUAAUAUUUGAUGUAAAAACGGCUGAAUGUAUAUGUCAUGUUUCGAGAAGCGUCCAUGAUUAUAUCAUUAUGAUCCCAAAAAGAAAAAUAUUAAAUAUUAGGCUACAAUUAUUUAUAUACAGUUUUAAAACCUGGACCGGCCCGGCAGGUCAACUCGGGCCGAGACCGGUCCAGGUAGAGGCAAAAAUCUACUUGGAAAUUGACUCGGUAAAACCCGGUCGAUCUGCCGGGUUGACCCCGUGACCUGGACCACCCGGUCAAACCCGGCUGACACAUGAUCUCUCUUUCUCUCUUUCUCUAUAUAUAUAUAUAGACGUUAAACGACGUCGUUUUGGCCUUAAAAGGCCAAAACGAUGAACAAUGACGAAGCAGAAUUGGGGACACAUUGAUUACAGAGCAAACCCAAUUAACGAAAGAUUCCAUCACAGCCAAUGCAACUACAGUCUGGUCUAUAAGCUUUUGGCUUUCUUCUUUGCUCUUGCCAAUUAGGAUUUUUGCGUUUCGAGUGAUCGAUUUGCCCAUCAAAGUUGAAGUGAAGGGAGUGAGUUGGUUACAGAGAGAACUCCAUUCUAGGAUUUUAAGGGUUUUGAGUUGGAGUGAGCGAGCUGGAGGAGUGAGUUUCGGUGAGUGUGAAUCAAAGGGUUUUGUUAGGGCUUUGGUGGAGAAGGGUGGUUUGGUGGUGAAGAAGAGAAUCGGGGAUUUUUUAAUGGCUAUUAAAUGAUUGGAGAGUUUGAUUAAUGAAGGAUUUUUGAGGGAGAGAAGGAAAGGGAUGGGCUGUUUGACAACAACUUAUCCUUUUUAUUUUCAGCUUAUCUUUUAUUUUAGGUUGACUUGUUUUUAGGUUGACUCGUGUCAAUCAAUCUAACUCGUGAUUCGAUCACUUGACUAGAUUGAUAUCCGGAUCGAUUUUUAAAAUUAUGAUUUCUAUAAUUAGGUUACAUUUCGUUAUAGUCAUGUAUUUGAAAAAAUAUUUAGUUAAUAAAUAUAUAUAUAUAUAUAUAUAUAUAUAUAUGUUUUACUAAAAAUUAUUUUAAAAUUUUAAUUAAAAUAUAAUAUAUUUUAUAACUUUUUUUAAAAUGUAUUUUUUAAAAUCACAUAUCUAUCACAAAGAAAGAUCUUUUCAUACAUCCCAACUUUAGGCUAGAAGAUAUUCAGGGCCAUUCCACUACCCUAGCCAGAGUGUCUACGAGGGCCCCGCAGCAGCCCCGUAUGCAUCAACUUAUGGUAUCUCGCACGCUCAAAGCCCUUCUGCAAUCUCUCAACAACCCUACCAUCACUCUCAAAGCCCCAGUGCAAUUCCUCAACAACUCACUCACAGCCAGCGGAGACAUGAGUGCUGCCGGUUUCCGUGCCAGUGGUUCUUAUGGAAGCCAGACCGGUUACGGGGCAUAUGAUUACGGCUCUGCUGCACCCGUUACUUACCAACCUUCAUCCUACACUCAAUAAGAUGGGAGGAACCUAGCCAGGUGUUAAGAUUCUUAUUUUAUUUGGUGUCUGAUUUCUGGAUGUGGCCCUCUAAUUUUGGGACCCGCCCCCUUCAUCUCCCUUUCCCGUAUAAAAGUUUUUUUUUGGUCUUAUCUCAUGACUGGAUAUGAUGCCCAUGCCUGUAACGCUGAUUACCUUUAUAUGGAGCUCAAGCUGGAUGUGAUUUCCGUGCUGUGAGUUUUAAAUGGUUUGGCUAUCGAGCAUUGUGAUUACUCUCAUGAUUGGAGUCGCCAUUGGGCGCCUAUGCUUGUUUUUUUGCUAAAUUUUGGCAUGCCUAAUAGACUAAUUUGUUAAAUCACAACAAUUUAGUAAUCAUGCUAAAAAUCCAAUUUAGUAAGAACAUGGCUAUGAUGGGUAACAAUUAGCUAGCCCUUGUAAUUGAUAGACGUCAUUCUUUUGGCCACGAGAGGUCUGAAAAUAACUCACAAACAUUCAGACCAAUGGAGAAGCUUGUAUUACAUGUUCUAUAAAAUGGUUAUUCAUCAUCUAAUUCUUUAUAUAAACAAAUAACUACACAUGAAUAGAACAAUAAUGUUCCCUUAUAGUUUAUAAUAUUGCCACCUUUGUGAGUAUCAUUACCUUUGUGAAUAUCAUUUUGCCUCUACCAUCACAACCUCACAGUUAAUUUUUUUUUUCAUCAUUCAAUUUUUUUUUAAAAUUAGUCUUUAUAAUUUUGUUUUUCAAUUCAGCUAUCCCGAUUUCAUUACCAGAACUACAUGUUUGAUGAAUUUUUUUUUGGGUCGCUGUUUUUUUUAUUUAAAAUUUUAUUAGUUUCAUCCUUGAACAUUUGGUUCCUUUAGAAUUGAUUAUUGUAAUCAUUCUAAAGACAUGCAUAAAUUGUUUUAAGGCCUUAAAGUGCAUCUUCAUUCAUCUCAGAAACUGAAAAAAUAAAAAAAAAUCAAAUAAAAGAAACCUAAUUAUUUUUCCUGGCCUUGAUCUCUUUUUCUUUGUCCUUCUAGGGUGGUGUAAUCACCAUCAACAAAAUGGCCUUUUAAGGAAGAAGGGGACACUGGACACCAUUAUAGCAGGUUGCAAUGUCAGGAUCUAGAGGAAAGUUUCUCUCCUCGCCUAUCUCUCCUCGGUCCUGUCUCCGAUCUUUACAUACAGGGACUGAAUUUUAAAAAUAGUGUGUUUGUUUUUUAAAUAGGUUUUGUGGUUUUGAUUUAAAAAAAUAAGUUUAGAAAAAGGUGUGGUUAACUAUGAUUAGUUAAAUUUAAAUACAUGUUUAGUAAAAAUUAUAGUUGAAGUUUAUGUGUAACAAAAAUAAUAUAUAAAAUAUUUGGUGGAAGUGUUGGUUGUUUGUUUUUUACUUGGAAAUACAUCAAAAUAAUUUUUUUUUAAUUAUUUUUUAUAUCAGCAUUGAUUUGAAAACAAAAAAUAUAUCAAUUUGAAGCAAGGAAAAAAAUAAAAAAAUUUAUUUUUUUCAAAAGCGUUUUGAAACGUAAAAAUAAAUAGGGUUUUAUGAACUCAAUUAAAAAAUCAUGUAAAAAUACUACAUAAAAAUUGCGUUUCAAACUCAAUUUUUUAUAAGUCCCGCAUUACAAACCAAGUUUGGUUUGUUAAUUACCAAACACUUUGCCAUGUUUGUUUCACCGCAAACAAAAAACCAGUGAAAAAAUCUAAAUAUCUAAAUAAUUUAUACAUGUUUUUUACUACACAUAAAAUUUAACUAUAAUUUUUAUUAAAUACAUAUUUAAAUUCAAUUAAUUACAAUUGACUCUAUUUAAAAAAAACUUAUUUUUUUAAAUUAAAAUCUCAAAAACUAUCUAAAAAAUAAAGAAACGAGUGAGGAUGUUGAUGAUGCCAAGCAAGUCAGUGUAAAGUGGAAAUCUUGACAAGAUGUUGUAGUCUUCAUAAAAAGUACAAUGCAGUACAAAACGAGAGGUGAAUGUUUGAGAUUGUUAUAAUUUUUAAUUUUAUAUGAUUUUUAAAAGUAUAUUUUAUUUUAAAAAUAUAUUAAAUUAAUAUUUUUUUAAUAAUUUUUUAUAAAACAUAUUUUUAAAAAUAAUUUCCAUCACAACACUAAAAACAUAUAAAUAUUUAUCAUAGUAACAAGAAGUGAUAAUAUUUGAUGUAAAAACGGCUGAAUGUAUAUGUCAUGUUUCGAGAAGCGUCCAUGAUUAUAUCAUUAUGAUCCCAAAAAGAAAAAUAUUAAAUAUUAGGCUACAAUAUUUAUCAUAAUUUUAAAACUCGGACCGGCCCGCAGGUCGACUCGGGUCUGGAACCGGUCCAAGUGGAGGCAAAAAUCCACUUGGAAAUUGACUCGGUGAAACCUGGUCGAUCUGCGGGUCGACCCGUGACCCGGAUCACCCGGUCAAACCCGGCUGACACUUGACUCUCUCUCUUAUAUAUAUAUAUAUAUAUAGACGUUAAAAGACCGUUUUGGCCUUUUAAAAGGCCAAAACGAUUAACAAUGACGAAGCAGAAUUGGGACACAUUGAUUACAGAGCAAACCCAAAUAACGAAAGAUUCCAUCACAGCCAAUGCAACUACAGUCUGGUCUAUAAGCUUUUGGCUUUCUUCUUUGCUCUUGCCAAUUAGGAUUUUUGCGUUUCGAGUGAUCGAUUUGCCCAUCAAAGUUGAAGUGAAGGGAGUGAGUUGGUUACAGAGAGAACUCCAUUCUAGGAUUUUAAGGGUUUUGAGUUGGAGUGAGCGAGCUGGAGGAGUGAGUUUCGGUGAGUGUGAAUCAAAGGGUUUUGUUAGGGCUUUGGUGGAGAAGGGUGGUUUGGUGGUGAAGAAGAGAAUCGGGGAUUUUUUAAUGGAUAAAUGAUUGGAGAGUUUCAUUAAUGAAGGAUUUUUGAGGGAGAGAAGGAAAGGGAUGGCUGUUUGGACUUAUCCUUAUUUCAGCUUAUUUUUUUUUUAGAGUUUAUGCCGUGUCAAUCAUCUGACUCGUGAUCCGAUCACUUGACUAGAUUGAUAUCCGGAUCGGGUUUCAAAACUAUGAUUUCUAUAAUUAGGUUACAUUUCGUUAUAGUCAUGUAUUUGAAAAAUAUUUAGUAUUAUAUAUAUAUAUAUAUAUAUAUAUAUAUGUUUUACUAAAAAUUAUUUUAAAAUUUUAAUUAAAAUAUAAUAUAUUUUAUAACUUUUUUUAAAAUGUAUUUUUUAAAAUCACAUAUCUAUCACAAAGAAAGAUCUUUUCAUACAUCCCAACUUUAGGCUAGAAGAUAUUCAGGGCCAUUCCACUACCCUAGCCAGAGUGUCUACGAGGGCCCCGCAGCAGCCCCGUAUGCAUCAACUUAUGGUAUCUCGCACGCUCAAAGCCCUUCUGCAAUCUCUCAACAACCCUACCAUCACUCUCAAAGCCCCAGUGCAAUUCCUCAACAACUCUACUCACAGCCAGCGGAGAACAUGAGUGCUGCCGGUUUCCGUGCCAGUGGUUCUUAUGGAAGCCAGACCGGUUACGGGGCAUAUGAUUACGGCUCUGCUGCACCCGUUACUUACCAACCUUCAUCCUACACUCAAUAAGAUGGGAGAAACCUAGCCAGAUGUUAAGAUGAAGACAAAGAUCUGGUGCUCGAUUGAUGUUCAAUUUUAUCAAAUUAUGUUUAAAUUAAGUUGAUUUAAAGCAAUUAGGCCUUAAGGAAUCAAAUUUGAUUAUGAAACAAAUAUGGGAGACUGAAAUUAAUGGGUAUAGUUAAAAAGACACAGUAGCUGUGGCAGCGUAUGCAAUCUUUUCUAGCGGCCAACUCACCCUUCCAUGGUAGCGAUCGAUGCAUCUUAGAAUUCUUUUUCUGCAAUGGUAACACAUGUGUCGCCUAAUUUUUGGUUAUUUUUAUUUUAAUUAUUUUAUUUACCGAAAAGGAUAAAAUGAUGAUAAAAAAAAUAAUAAUGAUGAAAAACAAGUAAAAUAAAGAAUAAAUUAAAAUUUAGGUUAAGGACAACAUGAUGGAAAGUUUUGGGGUUUAAUUAAACUUUGGAAUUAAUCUAAUUAAUCCAAUCAAGGGCUUAAUUGGAGAAUUGAUAAGUUUUAAGACUUAAUUGAGCUUGAAAUUAAUUUAAUUAAUCCAAUCAAUGUUUUAAUUGGAGAAUUGAUAAGUUUUUGGACUUAAUUGAGCUUGGAAUUAAUUUAAUGAAUGAAAUCAAGGACGUAAUUGAAGAAAUAUCAAAGUUUGGGGUUAAUUGGGGUACAAUUUGCAAGAAAUGAAAACGCAAGGACCAAUGUGUAAAUUGCAAUGAGAUGCAGGGGUUCAAUUAAAAUUUACCCAACGACUGGACUGCUAAAAUUCAAAAUGACAAGGAUCAAAAUGCAAUUAGCCAUGUCCAUCAACACUAUUCAUCUUUUCCUUCACUCGCCCGAACAAAAACGGAUGCAUCGCCAUUACUCCUGCAAUAACAGUCAAUUUAUUACCUGGUAACGGUGGCAUUCUGUGGCUAUAAAGCCAGAGAGAACAAAGGGGCUAGAGAAGGGGGAACCGAAAAGCCACUGGUGAUCAUAGAACCGAAAAGCCACUGGUGAUCAUAGAACCGUGAGCAGCAGUGGAAGAUCUUCAUCCCCAGCAGCUUCCUCCAUUUCAAGCAGCUCCUCGCCACGGUUAGUCUCCACCCCAACACCAGAUACUCCAAGAUCAGCCACCGUGGGUAGUGUUGCCACCAAUCACCUCACACAGCAUCGUGAACUCCAACAGCAAGGCAACUGUCAGCAGCCUUGCAACAACCAGCAUCUCCCUUCUGCACCGUGAGCUUCAAUCACUCCACCAGCAUCACUAGUUCCAUCGUGACUAGCAUCACCAGCAGCUUAUCUCAGCAAAUCAGUAGCUCAUCACGGUGGCGACUGAUUUUUGAAGAGAGGCUGAAGCGUUCCUCAGCAACUCUUCUAGACAGGGAGGAGAAGAACCCCCAUCUCUUUUGUUCAGACCUCCAUCACCAUCAACCAUCGCCUUUCAUCUUCCAACAAAUAGCGUAAGCAGCAGCACAGGAAGGGAGGACUAGAGAAGACGCAGAACAACAGAAACAGAGGGGGAAACAGUAGCAGUCGGGCAAGCCUCCGUCACCAUCGACAUCGUCUUCGCCUUCACCUCGCAGCUGCGCCACCCCAGCAGCUCUUCCUCACCGUGACAUCCAGCAGUCUUCCCUUGAAGCAGCCGUCUCCCUCAGCCUUGCCAGGUAAGUUCUUCAGCUUUCCUUCUUUUGGUAAAUUAAUUACCUGUUACUGUUGCAUGCAUGCGUGAGUGAUUCACGCAUGCAUGCAACAGUGGCAGCCGGGUCACUGGUUUGGACCAGUGACCCGAACUUUUUUUUUUUUUUUUACCAUGCAACAUCAAUAAACAGAAAAAUAAAAAAAAUAGAAAAAAUAAAAAAUGUGUAUGCAUGAAUAAAAAUAAUGUAAAUUUAUUGGUUUAUUCACUGAAACCAGAGUCAGGAAUAAAAAUACCGGUUUAAAUAUAUAUUAUUUUUAUUCGUUGUAUUUUUAUUUUAUUUAGCUAGAAAAAUAACAAAUAUGUGCAUGAAUAAAAAUAAAUUUAUUUUUAUUUAUUUAUUCACUGGCACUAAAAUAGGGAAUAAAAAAAUAUUGAUUUUUUUUUUCAUAGCUAUGAAUUUUUACCAACGCCAGAGUUGGAAUUAUUCGAGCUCGAAUAUUCACUGGCGUCAGAGUCAGGAAUAUUAUAAAACAAAUCAUCAUAGCAUAAACUAAUAAAUAUUUAGCAAUUUAAGACAUAAACCAGCAAUGCAGUCUGUCUUAGGCAGAACGUUUAAAGGGUGAUAAUAUCUUCCCUUUUAAGUAACUAAUCCCGAGCCAUAGAAUCUCUGUUGACCAGUUAGGGUUCCUAGUAACCAUAAUACUAGGUGACGACUCCUUAAACAAGAUAUUUUCUUUAAAAGAACCGGAUGCCAGAAAUCUGUUCUUUUUCCAUAAUUCAAGAGAAUUAUUUUGAGGGCCGAUGCGAUGUCGGGUGCGACAACAUGUAUUCUUAUUCUUAGUGUUGUGUUGUUGGUGUUAUUUAUUUUAUUUUUUUCCAUAUUUUCCCUCUUUUCUCUUUAAAAUUCAUGAUAGCCAUUUCAAAGUUCAUAGUUGUCUCCUUAUUUUAGUAUUAUUUCAAAUGCAAUCCUUUUUUUAUUACUAAGUUUUUGUUCUAGAUCUUUUUCUAAAAUGUAAAAUUAUUUUCAAUUUUAUCAUUCAAUAAAAAAUUAUAAGUUGUCCUUUCAAUUCAUUUUUAAAAUUUGGUCCAUAUUUUUUUAAUUCCUAUUUUUAGUUUUUGAUCCUAUAGUGAAAUUAAAUUUUCCUUCCAUUUUCAUCAUCUAAUUUGUUUUUAUUUCUAAUUCUAUUCUUAUUCUUUUGGUUUUUUUUUAGAGCCUUUUGUAAAAUUAAAUUUUUUAAAUUAAUUUUUCAGCAUGAGGUUAUUUAAGAAUUGGAUUCCAUGUGUUUUUAUUGAUGGGAUGAUUCAUGACAUGGACCAAGUCAUAUAUUUAAAAAAUUGACCCGGGUUAACAUUGUUCUUUUAUUUAUUGAGUUUUAUUUUUUUUAUACACGUUUUAUUUUUUAUUUUCAUCCUUUAAUUUUUUUUUAAUUGAGCUUUAUGAUUUUUUUUUUAAUUUUCUUUCAAUCAUGUUAUCCUUAUUCAUCUCAGAAACUGAAAAAAAAAAAAAUAAAUGAAACCUAAUUAUUUUUCGUGGCCUUGAUCUCUUUUUCUUUGUCUUUCUAGGGUGCUGUAAUCACCAUCAACAAAGUGGCCUUUUAAGGAAGAAGUGGCUCAAAUUGUUUCUAUAGUUGGGUUACAUUUUAAUAUAGUCAUGUAUUUGAAAAAGUAUUUAGUUAAUUAAUAUUUAUUACAUAUAUAUAUAUAUACACACACAUUACUAAAAAUUAUUUUAAAAUUUUAAUUAAAAUAUAAUAUAAUUUAUAAAUCCCAACUUUCGCAAGAAUAGUAAUCAUGAGUCCUGACAUGUCCUCUUCCUUGUUGAAUUCUACGGGCUUCGAAUGUCAUGUUCAUGCCGAUUUACUAGGGUAUUUCUUUAUGCAUGCAUGCAAAAUAAUAUAAUAAUUAAUUAUUAGUUGAUAGAGGCUGAUAAAUAAAUAAAAAUAUAUAGUUUAUUGAGUUUCCAAAACAAAAUAAUCGCAUCAUGCAUGUGGUCUUCAACCAAAUCUACUACUGUUUGCAAAAAUAGUGUUCAUGUAGAUUAAUAAGGCCAUGUUUGUUUCUCGGAAAGUAGUUUUUAGAAAAUUAUUUUCCAAACUUUCUUGUGUUUGUUUGUCAUUAGAAAAGUUGGUCAACGGAAAACACUUUCCAGUAAAAAAAAAAUUUUAACUUGGUUUUCAGGAAAGUAUUUUCCUUUUAGAUGUGCUUGUUUUCUGGAAAGUGGUUUCCGAGAAAUUACUUUCCAAACUUUCUUGUGUUUGUUUGCCAGUAGAAAAGUUGGUCAAUGAAAAAUACUUUCCAGUAAAAGGAAAAUUUGGCUUGGUUUUCAGAAAAGUGUUUUCCUGAAAAAUUUAAGGGGAAAACACUUUCCGGAAGUUGUGAAAAAUUUAGAAAUGUCAUUAUUUUCUGAUUAUAUCAAAUUUGAUCCUCAAACUUUUGAUUGCUAUAUAUAUUUUGUUUUGAAUAUUUAUUUUUCAAUUUCAUCUCUUAAAAUGUUAUUUUUAUAUUAGCGUUGGUCCUUAUUUUUAUAGUUGCUAUUUGCUUUUUCCUUAUUAUUUUUUUAUUGAAAUUUUUUAUUUAUCAAAUUUGAUCCUCAUUCUUUUUAUUGUUACUUAUUUUAUUUGAAAUAAUUUAUGAAAUGUUGAUUAUUAUUAUUUUAAUUUCUUCAUUUUUUUUUUUUAGAUUUGAUCCCUAUUAUUUUGAUUAUUAUUUAUUUUAUUUGAGAUAAUUUAUGAAAUUAUAUUUUUUUUUUCAAUUUCAUUCUCAUUCAACUUUUUAAUUUGUAAGAUUUGUUCCUCAUUAUUUUAAUAAACUUGAGAAAAAUAAAAUAUUAAUAAGUUAUUUUCUAGCUCAUUUUCCAUGACAUAACCAAACACUGGAAAGUGUUUUCCAACUCAUUUUCCAUUACACUACCAAACAUCGGAAAAUACUUUAUCGGAAUUCACUUUCUCCGGAAUUCACUUUUCAAAAGGAAAACUUUCCAGCAAACAAACGGAGCCUAAGUACUAUUUAUUGAAACAAAGUAAUGAUAUUUUGCUUUUCUUGUAAAAGAAUUUGAACAAGUUAUUUAAGAUAGUUUCACAAGUUUCAUUUGUUAUUAUCGGGUCAAAUUAAUAAGUGUUUUUGCAUUUUAAAAUUAUAGUGAAAUAAUUAAAAUAUUCUUAUAUGUAAAAAAUUAUAAAUUGAUGUCCAAGAACUUUUUAGUAUUUUCACAUUAGUUUUUUCGUUAUUAUUAGGUUAGUUGAAGGAAAAUUUGGUAUUUUAAUAAAUAUAAAAUAUUAUUUAAAAACAAAAAACGGCUAGCCUAUGUAAUGCUUGUGCUAGCGUAUGGGUGGUGCUAGCUCCAUUCGGGUGGCAUCUCUCGACGACCGAACACUAGCUUUUGCCAUGUUAUUAAUUGAAAGCAUUGCAAUAUAAUCUUCCUUUAAGAACGGCACGUUGUGUUAUUGGGGUGGUUAUGUGAUGUUGGUGACCUUUUUUUCUUCUCAUCCCACUUUAGUCUUUCCUCCUUUUAAAAAUCAUGUUGGUCAUGUGAAAUUUUAAAGUUGUCCUUUAAUUUAUUGAGAUGUCAAAUUCAUUAUUAUUUUUUUUGAUAUUUUUUUUUUUGUUCUUGGUUAUUUUGUGAAAUUUUUAGUUAUUUUUAAUUUUAUCCUUCAAUCUCAAUUUGUGAUACAUUAUAUUUUUUUCAAUUUAGUCCUUAUUCUUUUGAUAUUUUUAUUUUUUGAGUCCUUUUAUAAAAUUGAAUUUUCUUUUCAAUUUCAUCCUUCAAUUAAAAAUAAAAUUUAUUUUUUAUUUUAAUUUUAAUUUGCAUUCCUUCAAGUACCCUUUUUUUUAAUCUCUCUGUAUAAUUGAUUUUUCUUUUUUUCAUUUUUAAAUUUUAUCAAAAACGCACGCGAUUCGUUGUUGUCAAACUAUCUAGUGCUAAGAAUUCGAAAGUCAAGUACCCUGCAAUAUGAAAGAACUCUGAAAACACACACCAGAGACAUGCAUGUUCUGCUUUAUAUAUAACCAAAGUCGUUACAAGAAAGAAGAGAAAGUGCUUAUCUAUUUGUUACAAGAGAUACAAAUUACAUGAGAUUUAAAUACAAGAUAAAAUGCCCUCCCGUUUGCAAGCUAUCCAGUUUGAACUGGAUGUGAUCCUAUUCUCUACCCAUAAAAAUAAUACUGAAUUUAAAGGGAUUUGCAGUCAGGACAGACAAUAAUGAUUUUCCAGCUGCAAGCAUCAAUCUAUAGGAAAAACCUAAUUGAUAAUAAUAAAAAAAGGCUUGGAAUGUGAUGAUGGUUAGGAAAAAUCCAGUACGUUCGUGCACCGUGAUUGUCAGCAUGAAUGUAAAUGCUAAACCCAUGCAGAAAAGGGAGUAGAAAUUAAAAUAUGUCGCCAUCUCCAUGCAUAUUGUUACAUAAUUGGUACCACCUAAUGAUAUCUGACAAAGGAUUAUAGCGGCGAUGAGGGAGAGAUUCAUAGCUAGCAUGUCGAAAAAAACAUAAGCUCUCAUCAGAUUUUUUGAACUACCACUGCUAAGAUCACGACCUGAUCCAGGCACAGUGAUAGCACCAGCGAAGGUUACUCCAACUACCAGUACUGCCACCACGAGAAGAUUCCCUACCCCUCUGUUCAGUUGCUCCGUCGUUAACGUCGUUCUUGGUAAAUCAAAGAUAGGACUGAUGCAAGGCUCAGGCAUAUCAUCUGCCUCCUCCAAAACUUUAAAUACCUUACGCUGAACAACAAAGUGUUUAUUAGAAAAUAUAUGGUAAACAAAUUAAUUAUAUAAAGCAUCAUGACAAUGCUAGCUUAAUGUCCCAUAAUAACGAAGAAGGAAUUCAUCGCUAUAUAUUUAGUAGAUCAGCGAGGCAUUCCAUAUUUUUGAGCAAGUAAAGAACUUUAUUUCCACUUUGGAUUAAUCAAAUUUAAGGUAAUUGAAAGAAAUCUAUCAUUCCCUUUUCUAUAAAGUUGCAACAUGGACAGAAUGUGGAUGUGAAAGUUUUUGCUAUACUAGAAUGUAUUUACUUCAAUCACCUGAUUAGCUUCUUACGUGGACCAAAGCAACUAGAAUAUAAUUUGACUUGGAUGCGAAUGGUUCUUUAAAUGGCUAACCAAAACCCUCUGGUAUUGAUGAAUAUAACAGAAUUAAAUGUGACUGAGGUUUUGACAAUUAAAAAAUCUUUUUAAAUGAGUAUUGAUUGUUCCUAUGCAAUUACUAGAAGCUGGAUUGUGGAGUAUAAUGCCAUUACUAGAAGCUUAUUGGCUAUAAGAGAUAAUUAAUGAAGUUAUCUUUAUUGGCAUAUGGAAAAAACUAGAGAGUAUUUAUGCUUCCAGACCCAUGACUAAUCGUUUUCUUUUGAAGUGAGAUUUGUACUCUUGAGGAUGGAUGAAGGAAUGUGUAUACACAAGAGUUAAAAGGUUGACAACACAAGUAGUCAAUAUUAGAAAAAAAAUUGAGGAUAAAGAGCGAAACCUCAUUCUACAAGCCAUUGGUGCAAACAAUACUAGUUAAAAGGAAAUAACUUUAGGUUUAAAUGAUGCAGCUACAAUCUUAUUGGAGAAUGAUAGGUUUUGAAGGUAGAAAACAAUGUCAAAAGUUAACGAGGCAUUGGUUAUGGGAGGUGGUCCUGUAAUUUACCAUGAAAGAUGGGAGCAAAGAUGAUGAUGUUAUCAUGGAUCAUAAAUAUUGUAAAAAGGUUUUGAAAAAUUCAUGGAUUGUAGAUUUUGCAUGCUGCUUUCAUAGUUAUUUAAAGAAAUAAUGUUUUGAUACUUACAAAGAAAAUGAUGGAGAUUCUAUGUUGCUAGAAUUGAUAAUGUUAAAAUUAAGAUAUAUAAUGGAGCAAUGAAAACCCUUUGUGAUGCUAGGACUUAGGCACAUGCAAAGACUUACAAGAAAGAAAGUUUGUGAAACUGAAAAUGUUACCAUUUUGAGAACUUCUACUUCCUGCGAUUUGUUCCAUACACCUCUCGCAGCAUCAUCCUCAUGCUUGUUCUGAGCAAGGACAAGCAAAGACAGUAUUAAUUUGUAAGUAUACAUUCGAAACUGAAUUUGAAUGUAUUUUCUUGAAAUCAGUUUUUGUAAUGUUAAAGGUUGUCCUUUUCAUUAUCAUUUUUUGCAAGUAUAUAUAUAUGAUGAUUAAUUUGGAGUAUGAUCCCCCGUGAUGUUCAAGAGCAAUUGCAAGCCCAUUAAUUGACUUUGGUGCAUAAGGUCAGUUUUUCGAAAAGGCUCAGCAUAUAAGCAUACCAUUCCAUCUGACUUUGGUGCUUCAAAGCGUCCG